rnacentral:lncRNA from 1 species
AAUCGGAGCUGUAGCUGCCGGCCUACACCAGAGCCAUAGCAACGCAGGAUCUGAGCCAUGUCUGCAACCUACAUCACAGCUCACAGCAACGAUGGAUACUUAACCCACUGAGCAAGGCCAGGGAUCGAACCCGCAACCUCAUGGUCCCUAAUUGGAUUCAUUAACCACUGAGCCAUGACAGGAACUCCCCGAGAAGUCCAUUUUUUAAGUGCAGUUUUAUAGCAGGAUUUUUGAGACAGUUUCACAGAUAGGUAUCAAGAGAGAAAGAGAAAGGGGGUUGAUGGGAGAAUGAAGAAGAAGAGGAAGGGGGAAAGGAAGGCGUUUAAAUUUACCCUGCAAGCACUUAAAAUUAUGAAUGGACUACUCCAUCAUGGCAUUUGCCAAAAGCAGCUCAAUUUAAAGGCAGGUGACCAGGGAACAAAUUUGACUACCCGGGGGAACCACUCUCAGCAGAAAAGACACAGCAUUUAAUAUAGGAAGGACAAGAUCUCUUAUCAGAAGGGGAAAUAACUUGCAAGUUCAUAAAAACAUUCUAUCUAAGAAACAGAUAGACGAGGACGUUGAGGCCAAAUUGCUUACACGACUUGCCCAGAGAUGUGGGUCUGUGAUCCAGCUUUUCAGAGGUUUUCAGAGAGAGGAGGCGUACGCACGUGGAAGCUCAGGAACAUCUCUGAUUUAGGACAAGAAGUCUUUAAAUGCAAUUCAGUAAUUGAUGGCGGAGGAGAUGACUCCGACUAAGCUUUAUCAGUAAACCAUGCAGAAGAGGCAUGUGAAAACAGGCACUUAGAUCUGAAGUGAAGUGAAGUUUCCAGACUUAGAUAAAUUAGAUGAUGUAUUUUGAUUUGGCCAGAAUUACUUUCCAAUAAAAUAAUGUCUCUGGAGAAGUUUCAAACUGGAAAGAAGAGCAACUGGGGGGAUGAGGCAGAAAGAUUUCUUGUGAAAUCUUUUCAAAAUCCAGAACCAGUGUGUCAGAGCCCAGCUUCUGUUUUGUGGCCAGACUUCUCCUGUGUCUGUUACAUUGGUUAGAGAGCAUGAUUUGAUUAUGCGGUCAAGAACAGUCUGGGCAAAAUUGCUAAGUCAUCCGUUUUUGUCUUAUUGGCCCAAGCCUCACUUUCUCAUGGUUAUUUUUCAGUAUUAUGAAACAAUUUAGCCCCAGAUACCUCCUUAAGGACUCAAGGUCCUAAUCCUUUACUUCAAAAUUUAUUCUCAAGAGAGAUACCCUCCCUGCCUAUUAACUACUUAGAUUGAAACCCAAACCUUAUGUCAAGAGAAUGAAUCCGUCUGUAACUUUUGACUUUCAGCAAGUUAGUGGGAGGGAUUUUGGUGAUGAGGGAAGAGUAAAAGCAAGCAAGCAAUCACUCAGGAAAGCCCAGUGUUGUUUUGAGGGAGCUUUGAUCCGUAGCAGCUAGGCAGGCCAGGUCAUAAUUAUCCAGACUCUAGCACUACCUGGAUUCUUUUAGGAGGAAAAGGCUACUAAAAUUUUUCAAAGCAAACAUGGUAACCCACUAGACUUUAUCCCUGUGAAAGAAAAUAGGUGACCCUUAGCUAGAAAAUAAAAAGUCGUACUGCAGUUUUUGUUUACUUUAAAAAGCAUUUUCAGGUCAUGUAUUUAAUCAUAAGAAAUGAAAUGGGUUUUUUUUUUUUAAGCAUGGUGCCUGUAACACAUAAAAUUUGAGAUCUGGGGCUCUAGAUAUUUCUUCCCAAGCUGCACACGUACUUUGAAAUGCCGUUGCCUGCUGGAGUCCACGUCUGGCAAUUUGUUAUACUGAGCGGCUAAUUUUUCAAUGUGAUUCCUCUCCGGGCUGAGUGCAAAGUCAUAGAACACAACUGACAUAUCGGAGUAGCAGCCUGAAUUCAGAUUAGGUGCCAAGUGAGUUUACAACUGUGUAACCUUCAGGCUUAAUAGGGAAGUUGUUUUAGCAUUUGGGCUGUUAAUUCAUUUAGUGGUGAGACAUGUAAUCUGGGUAUUUGACAUCUAUAUAACUAACCAAGACAUAUGCUGAAUGCCAUUUUCUCUGUAAAAAUAAUUUAAUUAUCGGAAUAAUUGGAAUCUAGAUAUCUUUACUUCGGUUUGAGAUAUUACAGUCGUGUUCAGCAGUGUACAAUGUUGGCAUCAGGAAAAUUGGGCUUGAAUUUUGGCAGAAACACUGUGUCAUUUGGACAGCUCUGUGCCUCAGUUUUUACAUCUGUAACAUGAGGAUGCUAAAAAUAGCAACGUCAUAAAGCUACUGUGGGGGUGAAAUAAAAUCAUAGAUAUACUAUUAAUGCACAUUAUAAAGUGUCCGAUAAGUUGUACUUACUGAGUUUGAUGGCAUUCAUUUAUGAAAAUGAACCUUUUUUGAUCAUAACAAAUAUAUAAUAUUUGAUAUGAGCAAUUCACUCUUCAUAAGUUAUACUUGCUCUGAAAUAAUAUGAAGUAUGGAUUGAUAUUCUCCACUUAUGAUAAUGACUCUACUUUAGAAACCUCAUUAAAUGGAAUUGGUGCCCUUUCCACUAUGACAGGAACUCUAGCUACUCAAAUAGACUCAACUGGACUGUCUAGUAAAACAGUGUAUGUUUACACUCCAGGUAGGGUCUUAUUUGAAUAAUUAGAGCAAUGUCCAGUCCCAUAUAAUAAGCACAUUUCCAUGGUUAAUUGUUUAUAUUAAUAAUCUUAAUUCAAAAUAAAGAAUAGUAUUAAACAUCAGAUUGUAUAGGAUAUACAUUAAAUUCUCCAUUUUUCCUUUAUUGUCUCAUAAUAUAUAAUAGGUAUACUUAAAUAUUUUUAUGAUAAAAAUUUUUUGUGUAAACAGGGUUCUUGAUCAUAAUUGCAGGCUGGCGUUUAUGAACUAGAGACGUACAUUUUUGGAAGUGCCAUUGUCAUCAAGGGAUUAAACUUCUUUUUCACAAAAUCAGUGGGGCCCCUUCAAGUUCCACCCUCCUAGCUAACUGGAGUCUUGAUCUCGGCCUCUUCUCCUUUGCUGGCGGCUGCCUGGUUCUUGGCAUGUUCAUUUUUGGAUAUACUGCUGUCAUCCUGGUACCAUCUUGGGUGCCAACAUCAAGAAGGUAAUUUUUUUUUCUUUUUUAGGGCCACACCCACAGCAUAUGGUAGUUCCCAGUCUAGGGGUGGAAUAGGAGCUAGAGCUGUCGGCCUACACCACAGCCCCAGCAACACGGGAUCCGAGCUAUGUCUGCGACCUACACCACAGCUCCCGGCAACUCCGGAUCCUUAACCCACUGAGCAGGGCUGGGGAUGGAACCUUCAUCCUCAUGGAUACUAGUCAAGUUCGUUACUGCUGAGCUGCAGCAGGAACUUCAAGAAGGUAAUUUUAUCAGAAAGAAAUAAAAGUCCUAUUUACCUACUCUAGUCCCCACCCAAACCCCAUCUCAAGUGAAGAUCACACCAUGAUAUAUUGUCUUUUGUUUACUUUUUUAAGCUAGUGGGAAAUAAAUUCCUUUGAUUUCAUAUUACAGUUGUCUCUUGGGUCAGAAUAUCUCAUCAAUAUUAAUGUUCCAGCUCAAAUGAGAAUGCUAUACUAGUGUGUAAUUCAUACAGGGCACAGGUGGCAAUGUGAUCUUCAGAAGGUGAAGGCCCUAAAUCCCUUAGGUUAUUAAGCAGAAACCCUCCCAUUCCCUAAUUAUUUAGCCGUUUGUUAACUGCAGAGUGAAAAAGAUUGCUCUUCAAUUCAGUCUGGUCCCUUGCAUUUGAUCAAAAGCUCAUCACCCAGUUAUCUUGUCAUGAAUGAAGUAGUACCUUUGACUCUUUUCUCAUUUGGAUGUGAAAUUGUUAAGGGAAGCAUAGUAGCUUGGCCAUCACCUCCCACUUUCCACUUUCAUUUUGUGGUAACCUCUCAGGCCUUAUCGUCUGUGGAGUUGCUUGUUCUUUUUUACAAGCUGUAUCAGUGGUUGGUUCCCAUGUGAGUGGGGUCAGCAGGCCUCAUGGCCACUACUUCCCUGGAGUAAACCUUUGUUACACAUUAUAGAUCUUGUGAUAACAAAACAUAAUCAGGGGAGAGAGGGCCAUUAUUUCUUUUUCUUUUACAGCACAUCUCCGUAAUGAGUUUAUUAGAGAGGACUUUGAAAUGUAUGAAUUUCCAUAUGUAUGUCUGGCUAGAGAAAAUCCUCAUUCAUAAAUACCCUUGACUUAUGAAAUAAAGGAAGUAAUUAUUUGCAGUGUAGGAGGAUACACCAUAGUACUCCCUGUAUCUUUGCUUAUUUUACUGAAGUAUCAUUAAUUUACAAUGUAUUAGUGUCAAGUGUAUAGCAAAGUGAUUCAGUUACACACACACACACAUAUACUAUUUUUUUUGCCUUUUCUUGGGCCGCUUCCCUCGGCAUAUGGAGGUUCCCAGGCUAGGGGUCUAAUCGGAGCUGUAGCCGCCGGCCUAUACCACAGCCACAGCAACUCGGGAUCCGAGCCAUGUCUGUGACCUACACCACAGCUCGUAGCAACGCCAGAUCCUUAACCCACUGAUCGAGGCCAGGGAUCGAACCCGAAACCUCAUGGUUCCUGGUUGGAUUUGUUAACCACUGUGCCAUGACGGGAACUCCUAUAUUUUUUCUUUUCUUUUAUGGCCGCACCCAUGACAUAUGGAAGUUCCCAGGCUAGGGGUUGUAUCAGAGCUAUAGCUGGCAGCCUGCACCAGAGCCACAGCAGUGCCAGAUCCUUAACCCCUGAGCGAGGCCAGGGAUCGAACCCACAACCUCAUCGUUACUAGUUGGAUUCAUUUCCACUGCACCAUGAUGGGAACUCCAAAAAAAAUUUUUUUUAAAUAUGAUUUUUCUCUUUGCUUCCCCUUUGCUCCCUGUCUUUAGUCUUUGCCAUUGUGAUAUGAUCCUUGAUCUUAUUGUAUCUACAGUUUUACUUUAUAUAAACAAUUUUUGACUAAGGAAAGCCAUAGUAAUUGAAUGUAAACCUUAAACCUGACUUUCCUAGCAGGAAAAGCAGGACUUUCCUAGGAAGGAAGUGAAGUCAUUGUUUGGUAGCAGUCAACAUCACAGUUUAUCAGAAGCACAAAAUAUUUGCUGAACCUAAGAUCCUGAGUCUUUGCGUUUUGGGAUUUCUUCUGGUCUGGGUUUCCUAUUUAAAUGCUGAUUUCCUUGUCCUAGAUAAUGUUUUUUUUUUUUUUUGGUCUUUUUGCCAUUUCUCGGGCCCCUCUCGCGGCAUAUGGAAGUUCCCAGGCUAGGGGUCUAAUCGGAGCUGUAGCCACCGGCCUACGCCAGAGCCACAGCAACGNNNNNNNNNNNNNNNNNNNNNNNNNNNNNNNNNNNNNNNNNNNNNNNNNNNNNNNNNNNNNNNNNNNNNNNNNNNNNNNNNNNNNNNNNNNNNNNNNNNNNNNNNNNNNNNNNNNNNNNNNNNNNNNNNNNNNNNNNNNNNNNNNNNNNNNNNNNNNNNNNNNNNNNNNNNNNNNNNNNNNNNNNNNNNNNNNNNNNNNNNNNNNNNNNNNNNNNNNNNNNNNNNNNNNNNNNNNNNNNNNNNNNNNNNNNNNNNNNNNNNNNUGGUUGAACUUGCACUUACAGAGCUGAAAAAGCUGUAGCUGUAACUUUGCAUGUAGUUGGAGUAUUCAGAGCAAAGUAUCAACAUGAAAGAAUCCCCUCCUCAUUAUCACGCAUUUAAGUUCUCAGUGGUUUGUUGGUGUAGAAGGAGCGUUAAUUAGUUAAUGUUAAUGCAGCCAAGAGCGAUAUAGAAAUAUUAUAAGGCUUACUCAGAAUUACAACAUUUUUCAAACAUUUUCUACUUUAAAUCUCAAGUUUUAAUCUCUUAGAUAUAAGUUGCUAUUGUUGCUUUUGUGUGUGUGUGUGUGUUUUGUCUUUUUAGUUGCUGCACCCACGGCAUAUGGAGGUUCCCAGGCUAAGGGUCCAACCGGAGCUGCAGCCAGAGCCACAGCAACGCCAGAUCCGAGAGCCAUGUCUCCGACCUACACCACAGCUCACGGCAAUGCUGGAUCCUUAACCCACAGAGUGAGAGCAGGGAUCGAACCUGCAACCUCAUGGUUCCUAGUCGGAUUCAUUUCCCGGGCAUCAUGACGGGAACUCUGCUAUUAUUUCAAUGAGAUAUUUUCACCUAAUUUAUAAAAUGUCUUUUUCACUUGUCUCUCCCCUUUGGGGUUAAGGAUUAUCCGGAGAGUAUUGAUUGUCUGCUCGUUUCUUAAUAGAGCGGAAACUGUAUAUUCUAGCAUGUUCCAAAAUAUUUUUAUUCCCAAUUUUUGUUCUUAUUUUUAAGCUUCACUUUAUUUGUGAUGAGAUCAAAAGAAAAAAAAAGUUAGUAACCGUUUACUUCCUUCAGGAAGUUUAUAGAUUCCACGUACUUGGUCUGUUUGACCAUAGCAGAAUUUAUGAAAAUCUAAAACAUUAAUGAUGCCUGAAAGGCAGGAUGCACACAGAGGUGAACCCAUUGCUUGGCCAGAUAGCAGAAUUAUAGAAACUUGAAACUUCAGCAUUUUGAGGAUCAUUGAGAUACCAUUUUUGUAUGCAUUCAGAAUAGUUCACAAAUAAUGUUAAGAUGGAAUUCACAUAAACCCAAUUCAUAUUAGAACUGAAAUUUUUUUUCUGUUGUAGCUAGACAAUAAAUAAAGACAUGUUUAAAUGUUUAUCGUAGACAACAGAAAACACUGGAAAAAUCUCAUAAAAGCAGCGUUAGUACUGUUUUCUGUCCCUUUUUAUAAUGCCCAAAAAUAUGAAGCACAAAGAAUUUGAUUAUAUAUGCAGGACUACUCUUAUGGUGUGUGUUUUAUAUCUUCCAUUGCAGACUAACACGGCAUCUGUCACUGUCACAUUGAGUUAGCUGUAUUACAUAUCACGGGUGGCUUUAAAGCUAUUUUCCAUUAAUAAUAAGGCGUUUAUAAAUAUGAAACUACAUGCCUAUAUUGUAUACCACUGGUGCUUUCAGUUUGCUCUUUGGCGAGAAUUAAAUCCUAUCUAUAAGGUUUCCAAAGUGAACAGAGGAAAAUGAUCCAGAAAAUCAGGACUUCUUUCACCUUCGCAAUUGGAAGCCUCAUUCUCUCCAAUGAAGUGAGUCAGCAUUUCAGAAUUAAAAAUUCUACUGUGCAGAUAGUCUCACGCUGCAUUUGAAAUGGGGUCACUCAAGGAGGUGAAUUGUGCCGUGCAUUUGCAUUUAAGUGUCCUUAGACUCUUUCAGGUGUGGGCGCUGAGUGAUGGCAGCUGAUUCGUGAACUGUAGCUAACCCCUUUCACGGAGUAUUUUAGAGCCCAAUAAAAACGUAGGAAAGUGUUCUGUGUUAAUGUUUCCUAUGUGUAUGAUAAUAAAGUAUUUUUUUUUCACAUGGAAACUAGUUUAGCAGGAAUUCUCUUCAUAUAUAUUUUUCUUUUUAUCUGUAAUUAUCCUUCUCCUAGACCGCAGGGCUAGGCAAAAUCUGUCACAGUGGUCGAUUGAAUCCAUGGUUGCCUGGACACACGUUUUAAAUUUGAUGACAUGGAAGUUUGCAUGGGCAGAGUAUAAAGUUCUUAUUGAUGGUAGGCUGUGUUUCAGGUUGUAUGUCACAUUAGAUUGAGAGAUUCGUUGGCUUUUAUGCUUAAAGAUAAUCAUCUUUUACCUCCAAAUUAUAGAGAAAGAAAGAUUUAGAAAACCUUGAAAACAUUUCUUUCUGAUUCAACCCUCACCUGUGGUGUUCUUUAUCCAUGAACCAAGAAUUCUUUCCACACCAGCUUUUCAAGGUAGGAAUCAAAACAGUAUUGAAAUAGUUAAAGUUUUUCCUGAGACUUGCAGCAUGAUUUCAAAAAUAAAAAUUCAGUGUAUGGACAAACUAAUGGAAUAAACAUAGCCAAGACUGAUUUUGAAAGUGAAGUUCAGGAAAAUUACCAGAAUAUGUAGGAAAAAAAGAUUAAGUAAUGGAUAAUUUGGGAAAUAAAAGAUUUAGGGGUUAAUAUCUAGGAAAAUCAAGAUAUUUUUAUUAGGAUUUUUAUAAGCAGAUAAUAGUCAAAACAGGGGGAUGAAAUAAUAAAUGAUAUUAUAGAAGAAUUUUUCACAAAGCUGAAAAAAGCUAUACCAGUCUUCAGAUUAAAAGAACUUACUAUGCGUUGAGUCAGAUGAAAAAAAGAAUCAAAUAGUCAGAUAUUACUGUUCUCAGUUAUAACUCUAUAGAUUUAAAAAACAUUGUGUGUAUAUCCCUACAUACUUCUAGAGAGGAAAAAAAUAUGUUGCAAAAGCUGUAAGAAUUGUAUUUCUAUACUAUAAAUUAUAUUUCUCAUGAGCUGCAUUGUAUUCUGGAAGAUAAUAGAGAAAUAUUUUCAAAGUUCUCAGGGAAAAUAAUUUUGAGCCAAAAAUCUUAUGAAGUCAAAACAAUUUAAUAAUUAAGACAACAAUAAGAAAUAUUCAAAUAUGCAUGGAUAUAAGCCAUAAGCCAUUUAGUAUUAUCCAUGAUUCCUAUAUGAAAAAAAAAAAAACUUGGAGGGUUACUUCAGUGAAAUGACAAAAAAAAAAAAAAAA